rnacentral:piRNA from 1 species
UGCGACCGCGAUACUUCUAAA